rnacentral:rRNA from 1 species
UACGUAGGCAGCAAGCGUUGUUCGGAAUUACUGGGCGUAAAGAGUGUGUAGGCGGUGUUCUAAGUUUGUCGUGAAAUCUCCGGCUUAACUGGGAGGGUGCGGCGAAAACUGGAAUGCUAGAGGAUGGGAGAGGUAAGCGGAAUUCCUGGUGUAGCGGUGAAAUGCGUAGAUAUCAGGAGGAACACCUGUGGUGUAGACAGCUUACUGGACCAUUUCUGACGCUGAGACACGAAAGCGUGGGUAGCAAACAGG